rnacentral:lncRNA from 1 species
AGACUAAUGACCGAAGCUUCAAGACUUUGACAUGUGUGAAAACAUGAAAUGGUAAGUCAAUACAAAGACAGCAUCUUCCUGGAAUUUGGUUUUGAGCUUGUUUUCAUUUCACCUUUCUCAGUAAUCUGGGUGUAGCUUAUUUUGACUCUUCCUUUGAUUAAACAAUUCAGACCCUUGGCUCUUAUUGUUCUUGCUGGUGUGGUAUGUUCACGGCUGAAAAGAUGGUCAGAAGGGGAAAGGAGGAAGUGAGAAGAAAGAAACAGGGAAAUGACAGAGUGUUGCUCAGUUACCCAGGCUGGAGUGCAAUGGCAUGAUCUUGGCUCACUGCAGCCUCCACCUCCUGGGUUCAAGCGGUUCUCGUGCCUCAGUCUCCCAAGUAGCUGGGAUUACAGGCUGGAGUGCGAUGGCAUGAUCUUGGCUCACGGCAAACUCCGCCUCCCUGGUUCAAGUGAUUCUCCUGCCUCAGCCUCCCGAGUAGCCGGGAUUACAGGCAUGUGCCACCAUGCCCCGUUGGCCAGGCUGGUCUCGAACACCUUACCUCAGGUGAUCCUCCCACCUUUGGGAUUACAGCAGGCUGAGGAAUUACCAAGGAGGCAGGAGGUGGAGCAAAACACACCAAGCCUGGUGCCAAUCAUUGACAAUAUUAUGGUUAGUACUUACUGAGGGCUGACUAUGGUUGAAACUGCCUUUGCAAAAUUAUGACUGAGACGGUGAAAGAGAUCUAACUUAACCAACGCUAGCUAUCUUGCCUCUAACCUCCAAGCUGUCCUUGUUCAUUCC